rnacentral:misc_RNA from 1 species
GACAGAAGGGACGAGCGUUAUUCAUCAUUACUGGGCGUCAAGGGUAUGUAGGCGGUUUACCAUGUUUUGUGCUAAAUUCUAUGGAUGGCCCCAUAAGUCCGCACUUUUUACAGGUAAACUUGAGUCAGGUUAGGGUUCGGAGUACUCUCCGUGUAGUACUAAAAUGCUAAAAUAUGGAGAUGACUGCCAAAGAUGAAGAUACCGUUCUUAAUUUGACUGACGCUGAGGUACGGAAGUAUGGGUAUCGAACGGG